GAUGAACGCUGGCGGCGUGCCUAAUACAUGCAAGUCGAGCGAAUGGAUUAAGAGCUUGCUCUUAUGAAGUUAGCGGCGGACGGGUGAGUAACACGUGGGUAACCUGCCCAUAAGACUGGGAUAACUGCUAGAAAUGGUAGCUAAUACCGGAUACGACCCUCGGAGGCAUCUCCAGGGGGUGGAAAGAAUUUCGGUCAAGGAUGGACUCGCGGCCUAUCAGCUAGUUGGUGAGGUAACGGCUCACCAAGGCGACGACGGGUAGCCGGCCUGAGAGGGUGACCGGCCACACUGGGACUGAGACACGGCCCAGACUCCUACGGGAGGCAGCAGUGGGGAAUAUUGCACAAUGGGCGCAAGCCUGAUGCAGCAACGCCGCGUGAGGGAUGACGGCCUUCGGGUUGUAAACCUCUUUUAGUAGGGAAGAAGCGAAAGUGGCGGUACCUGCAGAAAAAGCACCGGCUAACUACGUGCCAGCAGCCGCGGUAA
rnacentral:rRNA from 1 species